UUUCAAAGCUUUAUUCUGUCCAACUAGAGAGGAAAACAAGCUUAAAAUCAAGUUGCAUAAAUAUCUGCAAAAAUACUACUCAUUCUGCAUAUAGUCUGGCUUAAAAAAGCUUCUAUGAACUUCUCUGAAGUCUCUUCCGUUUCAAGAUUCACAAUAAUUCUACAGACCAAUUGGCUAUGUUUGUGAUAAUACGGCUGGCCCUCUUUGUGCCUUUUUUCAGAUAAAUGUGUUUUAACCAACAUGUUGGUGCAAUCUUUUCCAGCUGUCUUUUUUUACUACAGACUGGGGGUUUUAUUGAGGGCCCAAAGUAUACCUCCCUUUGGCUGCACCAAAUGAACAAAACACAAGAUUCUGCAUGUCUGCUUGAUAAUGAACAGUGAUGAAGACACAGAUGUUCAUGUUAUGGGGAUUUAAUUUUCAGUCCUUAUUCCUCAGGGCCUCAGGUCUUCCCCAGCAAAGGUAGAAAGGCUUUCAUUCUUGUCUUCACGGGAGGUUGGUUUAUGACUCUUAUUUCUUUAAAGUGUUUUGAAAAUCCUCUUCUGAUAUUGGCAGAAUAUAACAUUUGCUUUCUUCUGUUCAGAAGUCAUACAGCUACUGUGUCUGCAAGCAGACUUAUGAACAAGGAAGGGUUCCUGCCAGUGUCCUUUGGGCUGGGAUAGGGUUUCAGUGACAGUGCUCCACACAAAGAAUUUUACUCUCAACUUUUAAAGUCAUUGUCAGCUGACUGCUGACUGAUGCUGAAAUAAUUUCUUUUUUUUUUUUUUUAAACCUCAGAAACUUCUCAGUCCUGACAAAUGUUAAUGCAAACCCUAUGGCAUCAGCAUGACCUGGCAUCUUCCCAACCUCUGCACCUGCACAAUUACAGCCAAGCUUUCCUAAACACUUUUUCCCUAACAGCUUGUUUUGGUUUGGGUUUGCUGUUGUUUUGUGCUGUUUUUCCCCACCUUUCUCUUUUUAAUCACCGAACACUUAUGGCAGGCAUAAUUUUUCAGAUGUUGUUUUGGAGAGUUUCUUGGAGCUAAUCACAUAUUCCCCUUGAGAAGGUUUGCAAGAGUGGCCCACACCUGAAGCCAGAGUCAGUGAAUUCCAGCGAAGAUCCCAGCAAAGAUCCAGAGGCACCUGGCUCGCCUGAAGGGCAGCAGGCGAGGCUGCUCAAGGAGUGCAGAGGCAGCAGCUGCGCUCUGCUCAGGCCACUCCACAGCUCCCACGGCACUGAUAAAAGCAGAGCUAUCAAUCACUGCAUAGGAUCAGCCAGCAUUUCUGCAGCCCCUCCCCUUUCUCGCUCUCCUUUGCAAUUGGCCCUGAGUGUUCUGCACCGAUGCACAGUCAGGUGUGUUUACGCACAAGGCAUUUGCAUCAGGGCUUUGUGACCUGUCAAGACACAGAAAAUUAAUGUCAGCUCAUUAUCAGAAAGGGGGGGAAAAAAAAAAUCACAACCUGGAGACCAGAAACCAAAUGCUUAUUUAUGUUAACUGCCCAAGCCUCUGUGAUUUCAGUUGAGUGGUAUCGAUCAAUUCAGCUGGGCAUCUGGUAUGAGAUAUAAAGAAAUAAGGAUGUUCACAUGUUAGAAUAUAGAUCUAUUGUGCCAAGUUUGUAAUGUUUGAAAGGAUGGAAUAAAGUAGUAGUCAAUAGACUGAGAAUUUUUUUUAUUUAUGUAGAUAUAAAUCUGAAAUAAGUGUUCAGAAAUGUGUUGCAAUGUCUACAGACACAGUUAUGUUCAGAAUGUGCAGCCUUAUACAUGUCUGAUUAAUUUCCAAGCAGAGUCUCUCCUCCGACAGCAAUGGAAGACCUGUACCAAGAAACAGAUGCUUGACCAGGAGAAACACAGAGUAAUGAAAUCUGGAAUACAAGUAAGGUUUCAGAUGCUGAAGAGCUCUCUAAGAAAAUCUAGUGCAAUUGUUCCCAGCAAGUAUUUUCUUAAAAGCAUCUUACCUACACAAUUUUUCCCCGACAUCCAUGAAUAAUAAACUCUCACAGUUCUGACCGUGGCAGUCAGUCCAGCUGGAGAGCAGGACACAGUGCCACACCACUCUUGAGUCAGAGGUGACUCAAGUCAAGAACUGAAGGCCUAAUAGAUGGGGGAAAUCUCCUUGUAGAAGCAGAAAUGCAGAAAACUGUGCAGAGAGGACAAUAAGCACUCCACAUUCUGAAGAAGGAAGAUGGGAUCCCAGAAAAACAUACAACUUGCAGUACAGAAAGCAGCUGACAAAAUUGUUUUUUCUUCCUUAAAUUGAACCCUAUCCUCAGCCCACUCAUGAAGAUGCCAGAGUGCUCAAUGCUCUGGGGUAAAAUAAAUCUUGUCAAGAUUUUUUUUCCAUAUGCUGAUUUCAAAAACAUUUUUGAGAAGCAUCUUGUCCCAGUAUCCUUUCUUUCUCCUUUUAGUAUAGGAUAAAUUGGAAAGUGAAGAUUUAAGUACAGUUAAAGAAAAAAACAGAGAAUAAAUUUCUACAAAAUGUUGCCAAACAUAAUUGGGCCUGGUUGAGUAAACUGCUCACACUAAACAAUUCGAUCUGCAGACCUUAUUUCCCCCAUUCUUGGAACCAGUGCAGUGGGAAAGUAUUCCUUCUCUAAAACCAUCCAACUUAAAAGUGACAGAAACACUUCAGUGUCCCGGUUGCUUGUGACUAUCAGCUUUCACUGUUCAUUUAGCUGCCUUCUCCAGGAGAUUCAUCAGUCAAAUUGAAAUUGUUGAAUUUAAGCUAAUGCCAGAACAGCUCAGUUGAACCACUGGAGAAAGACUGAGGAUCAUAUGCCAACCUCCUGCUUCCUAAGGCCAUGUGUUUGCAGCUGGAGGCAUGUCUGAGGGGUAGAAGUACCAAAGGAUUCAAAAAUUACUGAAGAGGAAGGAUUGUGAAUGUGCAAAAUUAUAAUAAAAUAGUCAAGGCACCUAAAUGAAAAAAAAAAGGAAAAAGGCAGGGACAUCUGGGAACAAUAGGGAAUAAUAUAGAGCAGUAUGGCAGUGUUAAAUUAAUUCAAGCACAUAAAGGAAUGGGUAACAAGGUAAGGUAAGCUGAGGUGCUUUCCUAUGUGAGCAGGAGAGAAGCAAUAUAGUCGGUGCCAUGGAGUUGUGGUGCCUUCACUAUUUGGACUAAGGACCUGUAGGAUCACAGCAGUGUUUCUCACCAGCUCCCUUGGUCCUUUUCCUCCAUGCAAAAAUCACCUUUGAGGAAUAAAGAGAAGGGUAAACUUUGUUCAUGUCUUGGAUCAGGGUCAAGACAAGAUCUUGGUCCUGAAAAAGGAAGAAGGCAGUACAAACAUGCCUCAGACACGAAGGAGGACAUCUGAGAACAGUGUUUACAAGAAAACCACAUAAAAAUGAUAAUUUUUAAGUUAUUUUUUAAAAAACAGUCUUCAAACUUCAGAGGAUUUUUAACAUGACUUACUUUCAUUUUGACAGACUUCAACAAAAAUUAAGAUAUUUCUUCCCCUAACCCUUGCCAAGACUGAAACAAAUCAUGGAGAAACAAGCUUUAAAAACUUCAGUUGUGAAAGCACUAGGUCCAUUCCCACUAGACCCAAUCAGAAAUGCACUUGGGUCAAGUCCUCAGAGGACGGUGCUGGCUGCCUGAAGCACAGAGCUCUGAACUGGCUAAGGGAACUGAAGCAUCUCUACCUACCCCACUGAGACAGCAUUGGGUGGUUCCCAGUGAUCCCAGAUUUCAAACCUUUUUCCUUUUCUAUUUUUUUUAAGGUCAAAGAACAAAAAGAAACACUCAAAAAAUCAAAGGACACAGAACAGGAUCCCUACAGAUCUUGUCAAACUGGAUUUCAUGUAAAAUGGCCAUGGCAAACAACUUCCUAGGGAUAAUAUUUGUCUUUUUUCUUCUCUUCAAAAGAAAAUUUGUCUAAAACAAUUUGUAAACUGUGUGAAGUAAGCUAUAUGGGAACAUGGCAGACAAUCAGUUAUUCAUGGAUGACCAAAUCCAUCUCUCCAUACUCUUGGCUUAUUAUCUUCAUUGAACAAAAUUGAACAAAAUGUAAAGCAUCUUCUUGAUACCAGAAUGAAUUAUUCAAGUUUCAACUAGAAAGUUAUUGCUCUUACUUGUUAUGUACAGGGAAUUGACACUACUACCUUGUUUAGAUGCUUACAGAGGAGGACCAAAGUUAAGAGGUUUAUCUUCUACCUAGCCAGAAAGAGAAAUAGGUUCCAUGUGGAAGCUGAUAGAGAGCAAGCUGUUGAAAAGAGUACUCUGGUUUUCUCUUGAGAAAAACUUAAUUUUCUCUGCUGACUGUAUAGGGAGACUACAGAGACUGAUCUCCAAGGCAAACAUAUAAAUUAGACACUUAAAGCUGAGCACACACCUUAUUGUAAUCCCCUUCAUAAAAGUUCUAAAAGUGUAGUUUCCUAAAACAGGAAAAAAAUAUAUACUUUUUGUGUACAUAUACAGGAUCCCAGAUAAGUAUAUGUUUGCAAUAACCACAAAAAAAUAUUAAUUGUAUCAUCUAUUUGAGCUUUUUUGAUCACCACUUCUUUAUUUUUACAUAGCAGGCUCAUAAUUUCAUAGUUGAAUUUUAACUAUGCCUAUGAAUAAUCAGAUAUCCUUACAGGGACUCUAAAUGUACAAAAAGCUUAUGUAAACUGUAUAAAUAUUAACAGGUAUUUCAUAUUUGAGGUCUCUUUUAUUAAAUAGCUGUUUGCAAUUUUAAGAAAAGUUUAAGUUUCCAGGUCAGUAAAGUCACAUGUUUUGUCAAACAGGGAGGGGAGCCCUUGGGGUAUGCUGAGUAAGAAUUCAAUAGAAUCUAGCCUUAAAACUUUAUGCUUUAAUUAAAAUGUAUACUGAUGUGUAGUCAUUUCCCUGAGCACAGCAAUAUGGUAAUAAGCCUUUAAAAAUUCAGAUCUCUGCAGUUUCAUAGUACAUUUUUCAAUCUGAUCAAACAUUUUUUUUCUCUCUCGCUAAUCAGUACUUUUUGUGGUUUAUGAAUACAGUAUUAUAUUUGAUUCCAUUCCCCUGUGGGUUGUUACAUAUCUUAAAAAUGUUGAGUGAAGAUUCCUAAGAAAAACCAAAAAAAGAUACAAAGUAAAACUUCUCUGAAAAGACUUGGAUACCUGAAAAGAUAUUCUUUCCAUAAUAAAAUUUUGUUGGUUUUGCUCAGUGUUCUGGUUUUGGCUGAGAGUGCAUUAAUCUUCUUCUCAGUAGCUGAUAUGGGUCUAUGGUUUGAAUUCGUGUUGAACAGUUUUGAUAAUUCAGAGAUUAUUUCAUUACUGCUGAGCAGGCUCAUGGAGUCAAAGCCUUUUCUUCUCCUCACUACCCCACCAGUGAGUGGGAGUGGGGAUGCACAAGGAACUGGGAGGAGACACAGCAGGGACAUCUGACCCCUGCCUGACCCAGUAUCUGUAAUAUAUUGUGUCCUCAGCACGUAAAGCUGGGUGGAAAGGAUAAAGAGAACGUGUCUGGAAUGAUGGCAUUUGUCUUUCCAAGUCACCAUAAUGUCUAAUGCAGCCUCUGCUCUCCUGGAGAUGGCUGAACACAGAUCACAGAAUCAUUUAUGUUGGAAAAAACCUCUAAGAUCAACGAGCCCAACCUCUGAUCAAACACCACCCUGUCAACUAAGUGCCACAUCCAGCUGUUUCUUGAACACUUCCAAGGACAGCAAUGAACCCCCCUGCCUGGACAGUCCAUUCUAAUGCCUAACAACCCUUUCCAUGAAUUUCCAAGAAAUUCCUGCUAACAUCCAAACUGAACCUCCUCUGGUGGAGCUUGAGGCUAUGUGCUUUUUUCCUGCCUGCCUAUGGAACAUAAUAAAUGAAUUCCUUGUUUUGUUUUACCUAUUAAACUGUUUCUACUUCAGCCCAUGAGUUUUCUCAUUUCUGCCAUUCUGAUUCUCUCUCCCAUUCCAGCAAGGGGGAGGUAAGCGAGUGGCUACGAGGAACUGAGCUGCUGGCUGGAGUUGAACCAUGACACUUGGUAAGCUGAUGUACUCACAGCAAAACAUGAGCUGAUCGUAAGAUUUUUCACAGUUCAAUGUGAUGAUGUUCUGCUGCAAAAGCAGCAAUUAAUCCCUGGAUGAAACUAAAGAAACAAGAGGCAGUCAUGGUAGAAAGUGAAGUGGGCAGACAUAGGUUUACCUGGGAGGCACCCACAAAGAAAUUGAAACGAUCUACUUCUAAUAUCAGUAAAACAAAAUUGUCAUGUUUCUUAUAACCUGUGGGUGAAUGUUUUCCCUUUUUAAAUUUCAAGCUGCACUACUAUAAUGAAGUGGCAUGGGAUGAACAUCUGUUUGGACAAAAAGAAAACUUGUAGGAUUCACCGAGUUAAACAAUCAGUUUGUAAGUGAAGAUUACCGUAAUGAUUUAACAAGAUGUGUAAAUCACAUUAUUCAGGGAACUUGAAUUUUGAUAUCUUUUAUUUUU